rnacentral:ncRNA from 2 species
AAAACAAAAAGAGGUCGCGACUGACAUUAUUAAACAAGUGAGUUCUUGCAAGAACAAUGAACUUGUUGAAAGGGAAUGUCGCCGAAGCGCUAGGUAUUGCAAUACUUAGUUCGCUGGGACGUACUAAUAAGAUGGUACGAACUGUCGCAGCAAAAUGUCGCUGCGUUGCGCUUAUGACAAA